rfam:Schistosoma haematobium scaffold865_11, whole genome shotgun sequence.
AUGCAGGUCCCAAAUAGGACGAAACGCGCGUCCUGGAU